rnacentral:pre_miRNA from 1 species
UCAUGGGACACGGGACAAGGCAAGAUGUUGGCAUAGCUGAACAUGAUAACGAUUAGGCUCUAGUUUAGAGCCUAAUCAAUUUGCAUAGAGCUUCAGCAGUGCCACAUUAGGCCAU